AGUCCAUGGUGUGGGCACUUCCUUAGCAUCAUCUUGAAAUGCUCUCACGCCUUGUAAAGGGUUUCACUUUCAUAUUGUUUAAAAUUAGUUGUUUCUCGCUGAAGUU
rnacentral:snoRNA from 1 species